GAUGAACGCUAGCGGCAGGCCUAAUACAUGCAAGUCGAACGGGCUCCAGAUCAAAGCUUGCUUUGGUUUGGUGAGAGUGGCGCACGGGUGCGUAACGCGUGAGCAACCUACCCUUGUCAGGGGGAUAGCCCGGCGAAAGUCGGAUUAAUACCGCAUGACAUCAUUGAGAGGCAUCUUUCGAUGAUCAAAGAUUUAUCGGACAAGGAGAGGCUCGCGUGCCAUUAGAUAGUUGGUAAGGUAACGGCUUACCAAGGCUACGCUGUCGAGGGGCUCUGAGAGGGGAAUCCCCCGCACUGGUACUGCGGCACCGACCAGACACCUACGGGAGAGAGCAGUAAGGAAUAUUAGUCAAGGAACGGAAGUCUGAACCAGCCAUGCGGCUUGCAGAGAGACGGCCCUAUGAGUUGUAAGCUGCUUUGAAACAAGAACAGACGUCGGUACGUGGACCGGUCUGAGGGUACCGUAAGAGUAAGGAACGGCUAACUCCGUG
rnacentral:rRNA from 1 species